GAUGAACGCUGGCGGCGUGCCUAAUACAUGCAAGUCGAGCGAACGGACGAGAAGCUUGCUUCUCUGAUGUUAGCGGCGGACGGGUGAGUAACACGUGGAUAACCUACCUAUAAAACUGGGAUAACUUCGGGAAACCGUAGCUAAUACCGGAUGAUAUUUUGAACCGCAUGGUUCAAAAGUGAAAGACGGUCUUUCUGUCACUUAUAGAUGGAUCCGCGCUGCAUUAGCUAGUUGGUAAGGUAACGGCUUACCAAGGCAACGAUGCAUAGCCGACCUGAGAGGGUGAUCGGCCACACUGGAACUGAGACACGGUCCAGACUCCUACGGGAGGCAGCAGUAGGGAAUCUUCCGCAAUGGGCGAAAGCCUGACGGAGCAACGCCGCGUGAGUGAUGAAGGUCUUCGGAUCGUAAAACUCUGUUAUUAGGGAAGAACAUAUGUGUAAGUAACUGUGCACAUCUUGACGGUACCUAAUCAGAAAGCCACGGCUAACUACGUG
rnacentral:rRNA from 1 species